GAUGAAGAACGUAGCGAAAUGUGAUAAGUAAUGUGAAUUGCAGAAUUCAGUGAAUCAUCGAAUCUUUGAACGCACAUUGCGCCCGCCAGUAUUCUGGCGGGCAUGCCUGUUCGAGCGUCAUUUCAACCAUCAAGCCCUGCUUGCGUUGGGGUCCUGCGGCUGCCCGCAGGCCCUGAAAACCAGUGGCGGGCUCGCUAGUCACACCGAGCGCAGUAAUACAUCUCGCUUUGGGCGUGCGGCGGGUUCUUGCCGUUAAACACCCCCUUUUUACCAAGGUUGACCUCGGAUCAGGUAGGAAUACCCGCUGAACUUAAGCAUAUCAAUAAGCGGAGGA
rnacentral:misc_RNA from 1 species